GAUGAACGCUGGCGGCGUGCCUAAUACAUGCAAGUCGAGCGAAUGGAUUAAGAGCUUGCUCUUAUGAAGUUAGCGGCGGACGGGUGAGUAACACGUGGGUAACCUGCCCAUAAGACUGGGAUAACUCCGGGAAACCGGGGCUAAUACCGGAUAACAUUUUGAACCACAUGGUUCGAAAUUGAAAGGCGGCUUCGGCUGUCACUUAUGGAUGGACCCGCGCCGCAUUAGCUAGUUUGUGAGGUAACGGCUCACCAAGGCAACGAUGUGUAGCCGACCUGAGAGGGUGAUCGGCCACACUGGGACUGAGACACGGCCCAGACUCCUACGGGAGGCAGCAGUAGGGAAUCUUCCGCAAUGGACGAAAGUCUGACGGAGCAACGCCGCGUGAGUGAUGAAGGCUUUCGGGUCGUAAAACUCUGUUGUUAGGGAAGAACAAGUGCUAGUUGAAUAAGCUGGCACCUUGACGGUACCUAACCAGAAAGCCACGGCUAACUACGUGCCAGCCGCCGCGGUAA
rnacentral:rRNA from 1 species